rnacentral:lncRNA from 1 species
UCCUAGGUAUCUUAUGCUUUGGGGUGCAAUUGUAAAUGGGAUUGACUCCUUAAUUUCUCUUCUUCAGUCUCAUUGUUAGUGUAGAGAAAUGCCACUGACUUCUGGGCAUUGAUUUUGUAUCCUGCCAUGCAACCGAAUGGCUGUAUGGAGUUCCAGCAAUCUUGGGGUGGAGACUUUUGGGUUUUCUAUGUAGAGUAUCAUGUCAUCGGCGAAGAGGAGAGUUUGACUUCUUCUUUGCAAUUUGAAUGUCUUUAAAGUCUUUUGUUGUCUGAUUGCUGAGGCUAGGACUUCCUACUAUGUUGAACAGCAGUAGUGAGAGUGGACAUCCCUGUCUUGUUCCCAUCUUAGGGAAAGGCUCCAGUGCUUCCCCUUGAGAAUGAUAUUUGCUGUGGGCUUUUCAUAGAUGGCUUUUUAAGAUGUCGAGCGAUGUCCCUCUAUCCUUACACCGGAGUUGUUGAUCAGGAAUGGAUGCUGUAUUGUCAAAUGCUUUCUCUGCAUCCAAUGAGAGGAUAAUAUGGAUCUUGGUUUUUCUCUUGCUGAUACGAUGAAUCACAUGAUGUGUUUUUACGGGUGUUGAACCAGCCUUGUGUCCCAGGAUAAAAUCCUACUUGGUCAUGGUGAUAAUUUUUUUAAUGCACUGUUGGAUCCUAUUGGCCAGUAUCCUUGUUGAAGAAUUUUUGCAUCCAUUUCAUUAGGGAUAUUGGUCGUAAUCCUCCUUUUUGCUGGGGUCUUUGUCUGGUUUUGGAAUGAAGGUGAUGCUGGCCUCAAGAAAUUUGGAAGUACUCCAUCUCGUUCUAUCUUUCCAAACAGCUUUAGGAGGAUAGGUAUGGUUUCUUCUUUAAACAUUUGAUAGAAUUCCCCUGGGAAGCCAUCUGGCCCUGGACUCUUGUGUCUUGGGAGGUUUUUUGAUGACUGUCUUCAAUUCCCUCCCUGGUUUCUUGGCCUGUUCAGGUUUUUCUAUGUCUUCCUGUUCCAGUUUGGGUAGUUUGUGGCUUUCCAGGAAAGCGCCAUUUCUUCUAGAAUGGCCUAAUUUAUUGGCGUAAGCUGUUCAUAAUAUGUUUUUAAAAUCGUUUGUAUUUUCCUUGGGUUGGUAGUGAUCUCUCCUUUCUCAUUCAUGAUUUUAUUAAUUUGAGUCUUCUCCUCUCUCCUCUUUUUUUUAAUAAGACUGGCUAAUGGUUUAUCUAUCUUAUUAAUUCUUUCAAAGAACCAACUCCUGUUUUGUUGAUCUGU